GCUCUCUUUGGUAGCACAUAUACUAAAAUAAAUGAUACAGAGAAGAUUAGCAUGGCCCUUGCACAAGGAUGACUGUAACUUUUAUAAAUGAUAACAGUCUUGU